AUACGUAGGGAGCGAGCGUUGUCCGGAAUUACUGGGUGUAAAGGGUGCGCAGGCGGGACUGCAAGUCAGAUGUGAAAUGCCGGGGCUCAAACCCGGAGCUGCAUUUGAAACUGUGGUUCUUGAGUGAGGUAGAGGCAAGCGGAAUUCCUAGUGUAGCGGUGAAAUGCGUAGAUAUUAGGAGGAACAUCGGGGGCGAAGGCGUCUUACGGGGUCUUGCCUGACGAUGAGACAGGAAAGCGUGGGGAGCAAACGGGAUAAGAUACCCUGGAAGUCCACGCCGUAAACGAUGAAUACUAGGUGUGGGGGGACUGACCCCCUCCGUGCCGCAGCUAACGCAAUAAGUAUUCCACCUGGGGAGUACGACCGCAAGGUUGAAACUCAAAGGAAUUGACGGGG
rnacentral:rRNA from 1 species